ACGAACGCUGGCGGCGUGCCUAAUACAUGCAAGUAGAACGCUGAAGAGAGGAGCUUGCUCUUCUUGGAUGAGUUGCGAACGGGUGAGUAACGCGUAGGUAACCUGCCUGGUAGCGGGGGAUAACUAUUGGAAACGAUAGCUAAUACCGCAUAACAGUAGAUAUUGCAUGAUAUCUGCUUGAAAGGUGCAAAUGCAUCACUACCAGAUGGACCUGCGUUGUAUUAGCUAGUUGGUGAGGUAACGGCUCACCAAGGCGACGAUACAUAGCCGACCUGAGAGGGUGAUCGGCCACACUGGGACUGAGACACGGCCCAGACUCCUACGGGAGGCAGCAGUAGGGAAUCUUCGGCAAUGGGGGGAACCCUGACCGAGCAACGCCGCGUGAGUGAAGAAGGUUUUCGGAUCGUAAAGCUCUGUUGUAAGAGAAGAACGGGUGUGAGAGUGGAAAGUUCACACUGUGACGGUAUCUUACCAGAAAGGGACGGCUAACUACGUGCCAGCAGCCGCGGUAAUACGUAGGUCCCGAGCGUUGUC
rnacentral:rRNA from 1 species